AUGAACUAUAACCUGAGUGAAGCCCUCAAGACACUGAAGCUCUCCUCAGCAGACAGCACCUCGGACAGUGUAGAGAACUGCCUGGACUGCCUGCUGAAAGCCUUGGCCCAAAACAAUGUGGAAGCGAGUGAAAAGAUUCAGGAGAUGGGUGUUCUUCCUAUGAUGCCUUCAUUAUUGGCUAUACAGAACUCCUGCACACCAAAAGUAGCCAACAUCAUAGCAGAAUUGGCGAAAAACGAGUUUAUGCGGAGUCCCUGUGUGGAGGCAGGGCUAAUUCCCCCUCUGGUGCAGCUGCUCAACUGCAAAGACCAGGAGGUGCUGCUUCAGACGGGUCGAGCCCUGGGCAACAUCUGCUAUGACAGCCAUGAGGGCAGAAGUGCAGUUGACGAGGCGGGCGGGGCACAGAUAGUAGCAGAGCACAUUAAGGCUCUGGCCCCUAACACUGACUCGGCCACUGGGAAGCUCUUGACUGUCUUUUGUGGCAUGCUGAUGAACUAUAGCAAUGAUAAUGACACACUGCAGGCCCAGCUGAUCAGCAUGGGGGUGAUCCCCACUCUGGUGCAGCUUCUCGGGGUCCACUCCCAGAAUACGGCCCUCACAGAAAUGUGCCUCAUUGCCUUCGGAAACCUGGCAGAACUGGAAUCGAGUAAGGAGCAGUUUGCGUCUACAAACAUCGCAGAGGAGCUAGUGAGACUGUUCCGGAAGCAGGUGGAGCAUGAAAAGAAGGAGAUGAUCUUUGAGGUGCUGGCUCCGCUGGCUGAGAACGAUGUGAUCAAGCUACAGCUGGUGGAGGCAGGCCUGGUGGAGUGUCUGUUGGAUGUGGUUGGUCAGACGGUGGACAGUGACAGAGAGGAGGACACGGCUCAGCUGAAAACCGCCUCUGACCUCAUGGUGCUGCUGCUGCUGGGAGACGAGUCAAUGCAGAAACUGUUUGAUGGGGGUAAAGGUAACGUGUUCCAGAGGGUUCUCUCCUGGGUUCCGUCUAACAGCCACCAGCUUCAGCUAGCUGGCGCCCUGGCCAUCGCAAACUUCGCCCGCAACGAUGGGAACUGCAUCCACAUGGUGGACACGGGCAUUGUGCAGAUGCUGCUGGACCUUCUGGACAGGCAUGUGGAGGAGGGCAACGUCACCGUCCAGCACGCUGCUCUCAGUGCCCUCAGGAACCUGGCCAUCCCAGUGGUGAACAAGUCUAAGAUGCUCACGGCCGGCGUGACCGACGUGGUGCUGAGGUUCCUCCCGUCCGAGAUGCCACCGGUUCAGUUCAAGCUGCUGGGAACGUUACGGAUGCUCAUCGACACACAAGGUAGCUGCUGGCAAACUCCCAGAACACCCCAUUUUCCUUUGAAAAGUUCAAAUACUGAUGAUCAGUAA
ensembl:lncRNA